UGAGGAAUAUUGGACAAUGGGCGCAAGCCUGAUCCAGCCAUGCCGCGUGCAGGAAGAAGCAUCUAUGGUGUGUAAACUGCUUUUGUACGGGAAGAAACACUCCUACGUGUAGGAGCUUGACGGUACCGUAAGAAUAAGGAUCGGCUAACUCCGUGCCAGCAGCCGCGGUAAUACGGAGGAUCCAAGCGUUAUCCGGAAUCAUUGGGUUUAAAGGGUCCGUAGGCGGGUCUGUAAGUCAGUGGUGAAAUCUCCCCGCUCAACGGGGAAACUGCCAUUGAUACUGCAGGCCUUGAAUUAUUGGGAAGUAACUAGAAUAUGUAGUGUAGCGGUGAAAUGCUUAGAGAUUACAUGGAAUACCAAUUGCGAAGGCAGGUUACUACUUGUGGAUUGACGCUGAUGGACGAAAGCGUGGGGAGCGAACA
rnacentral:rRNA from 1 species